CGCUGGCGGCGUGCCUAAUACAUGCAAGUCGAACGCACAGCGAAAGGUGCUUGCACCUUUCAAGUGAGUGGCGAACGGGUGAGUAACACGUGGACAACCUGCCUCAAGGCUGGGGAUAACAUUUGGAAACAGAUGCUAAUACCGAAUAAAACUUAGUGUCGCAUGACACAAAGUUAAAAGGCGCUUCGGCGUCACCUAGAGAUGGAUCCGCGGUGCAUUAGUUAGUUGGUGGGGUAAAGGCCUACCAAGACAAUGAUGCAUAGCCGAGUUGAGAGACUGAUCGGCCACAUUGGGACUGAGACACGGCCCAAACUCCUACGGGAGGCUGCAGUAGGGAAUCUUCCACAAUGGGCGAAAGCCUGAUGGAGCAACGCCGCGUGUGUGAUGAAGGCUUUCGGGUCGUAAAGCACUGUUGUAUGGGAAGAACAGCUAGAAUAGGAAAUGAUUUUAGUUUGACGGUACCAUACCAGAAAGGGACGGCUAAAUACGUGCCAGCAGCCGCGGUAAUACGUAUGUCCCGAGCGUUAUCCGGAUUUAUUGGGCGUAAAGCGAGCGCAGACGGUUUAUUAAGUCUGAUGUGAAAGCCCGGAGCUCAACUUCGGAAUGGCAUUGGAAACUGGUUAACUUGAGUGCAGUAGAGGUAAGUGGAACUCCAUGUGUAGCGGUGGAAUGCGUAGAUAUAUGGAAGAACACCAGUGGCGAAGGCGGCUUACUGGACUGCAACUGACGUUGAGGCUCGAAAGUGUGGGUAGCAAACAGGAUUAGAUACCCUGGUAGUCCACACCGUAAACGAUGAACACUAGGUGUUAGGAGGUUUCCGCCUCUUAGUGCCGAAGCUAACGCAUUAAGUGUUCCGCCUGGGGAGUACGACCGCAAGGUUGAAACUCAAAGGAAUUGACGGGGACCCGCACAAGCGGUGGAGCAUGUGGUUUAAUUCGAAGCAACGCGAAGAACCUUACCAGGUCUUGACAUCCUUUGAAGCUUUUAGAGAUAGAAGUGUUCUCUUCGGAGACAAAGUGACAGGUGGUGCAUGGUCGUCGUCAGCUCGUGUCGUGAGAUGUUGGGUUAAGUCCCGCAACGAGCGCAACCCUUAUUGUUAGUUGCCAGCAUUCAGAUGGGCACUCUAGCGAGACUGCCGGUGACAAACCGGAGGAAGGCGGGGACGACGUCAGAUCAUCAUGCCCCUUAUGACCUGGGCUACACACGUGCUACAAUGGCGUAUACAACGAGUUGCCAACCCGCGAGGGUGAGCUAAUCUCUUAAAGUACGUCUCAGUUCGGAUUGUAGUCUGCAACUCGACUACAUGAAGUCGGAAUCGCUAGUAAUCGCGGAUCAGCACGCCGCGGUGAAUACGUUCCCGGGUCUUGUACACACCGCCCGUCACACCAUGGGAGUUUGUAAUGCCCAAAGCCGGUGGCCUAACCUUUUAGGAAGGAGCCGUCUAAGGCAGGACAGAUGACUGG
rnacentral:rRNA from 1 species